UACACGCGGGCGCACGCGCGGACGCAACACACACGGAGCAGCCCUCGGGCGGCGGCGUCGCCACGUCCGAGAGUGCGAUUGCACUGGACGUGCAUCCUGCCGAUCCUUGGGAACUGCGGGAGGCGCCCUGGCGUUUCUUUGGAACUUCCUGUGAGUUCCAUCGCUUCAAGAUCCAAACUGCAGCCGAAAGCACACAAGCAGGGCUGGGCGUAGACAGACAGGACGACUAGCGCGGCCCUGCGCGCAGGCGACCAGCUAGUUCUCACUGGGCAGGGGACGAGUCCGUCAGUCCGCGGGGACCAGGCUUGCCCCUGCGCCUGAGAGCGGUCCCAUCCCGAGCCGAGCUUUGUCAUUGGCGGAGCUAGCCGGAAGAGGUGUGGCCUCCUGGGAGAGAGUCCUGCCCAAGUCUGCCUGUUCUCCAGGACCACCUGGGAUUGUCCUUGUGGUUGUCCCUGCCUGUCACCUGGGGAGGUCACAAUCAAGGGGAGUCCCACAGAGAAAGCUCCUGGCUUCCCUACAAGUCGCUGUGAUCCGGAAGCAUCCGUCCCAGUGGUUCUCACGCUGCAGGGCUGCAUGGGAAACCUGGAGAGCUUGUUCAACGUCGGGACUCGGGACUCCACCCCACGGUCUGUGAUCUUGCAGAUCUGAGGGCCUAGCAGCAGGGGUGUCUCUCGGGAUUCUCUCGGUGCGCCGGGUCCCAGCCCGCUGGCAGCUCGCAGGAUGGAGUGCCCGGUGCCAGGCUCAUGUUCUUUUUUCAUGAGGACAUUUCAGAACUGCACUGUGCUCUGGUCUCCUGCUCUCCCAUGAAGUGCUCCUGAUAGGGGUAUGGCCAGCAAGCCAGGAGGGCCAGCUGGGAGGAAGCCCAAAAGGGGGACAGCCCUUCAUAAAGAGUGCUCGACACAGGAGACCUCAGCUCCUCCCGAGGCAGCUUCCUGAAGGGGAGAAGAGAAGGCUGGGAGGUGCACAUGGGACGUGGCUUCAGAAGUGACAACCAUGACCCUGGGGGCACCUGGGGGCUCAGUCGGUUAAGCGACUCCGGCUCAGGCUGUGAUCUCAGGGCUCCUGAGUUCGA